rnacentral:piRNA from 1 species
UUGAAACUCUCCUGUCUGGUC